ensembl:lncRNA
CCCACAUACCUGGGUACUUGCACGCCUGCAGGAGGAACGAGACUGCACUUCACAGCUGGCGCCAGCCCGCUGGCUCCCCGUACUCACGGAGCAGCACGAUGCUGCCUACGACGUGAAGCCGGCCUGGAGGAAGGAGAAGGACAUCAUGUCAGGGGCCCCAGGCAUAACGUUGCUGCGUCUCCCACUUGCCGGAGGAGGCCUUGCAGCUGGCGGUGCUGGCGACGGCCCAGGGCCACCUCCCCAGCUAGAGUCCGCGUGCGCCGAGCUCUGGGGGCCUCACCUCAGGCUCCCGGAGAAAGCCAGCCGCCUGCGGAUCCUGGCUGCGGAGGCUACGGUCGCUCCCCGCUGCUCCCCGGUGCUCCCCGCUCAGCCACGUCUCCCGAAUCCUCACACGGAGUCCCCCAUCGACCGUCUGGGCACAGCAAUGUCUUAUGGAGCGUCAACACCCACCCACCACCUGUCCCUCCGCAAAAAGUGACAUUCUCCUACAAAAGUGGACGUGCGGGGUCCCUGGGAAGCAGAAGCCAACGUGUUUUUCUCUUUUCUCUGGGCAUCAGCACUCGGGUCGCGCGUGCGCCCCGGCCCUUCUGCACGCGGAGGUCGCCUGGGGCCGCGGCCGUCCGGAGCGCUCGAAGCGCCGCCCUGCUCCUGAGGCGCUCUGCGGCUGCGCGCGGCGAGGUGUCGGUCCCAGGCUCCCGUCGCAAAGUUCCAGCGAGGCGCUUUACGGCUGCACGAGGAGCGCGAAAGGGCCUCGGUCGCGACCUCAGCCUCGACAGGAGGCCGCCCUCCGGGCACGCGUGCAAGCGCGGGCGGGCGGACGCCGCUGCGGCCCUGAGGCCUGGAGGAGGACGCCUGCGGGCUAACUUCCGGCAGACGGUCUGGCUGAGGACGCUCUAACCUUGAAUUCAACACUGAAAAGUUCGUAUUUUGAAGACCGGAUUAAAUUAUUUUCCUUCAGGAAUUUGAUAUCAGAAGAAAAAAACAGGUGUGCAAAAUCUAUGGCUUAUAAAUCUGGGUUGAUCACAGUUAAUGGAGAUUUAGAUUUCGAUUAAGGGAAUAUGUUGUAAAUUAAACUGCUUUGAAUCAUUUAUAUCUUAGUUAAAUGGAUGAAACUAUGAGAAAAUCUCAUUAUCAAAGUUUGAAGAAACUCAGAUGCAGAUAGAAGUAAGUCAUACUUCAAAUUAGAAAAUAUAAAGGUAUAAAUGAAGAUGCAUUCUGAAUUAGGAAUGUCUUAAUAUUUCCAUCACUACAAUCUUUUUUUUUCUUUUUUUACAACUUUAUUUUUUUUUUUAUUUAUUUAUGAUAGGCACACAGUGAGAGAGAGAGGCAGAGACAUAGGCAGAGGGAGAAGCAGGCUCCAUGCACCGGGAGCCGGAUGUGGGAUUCGAUCCCGGGUCUCCAGGAUCGCACCCUGGGCCAAAGGCAGGCGCUAAACCGCUGCGCCACCCAGGGAUCCCCUCCAUCACUACAGUCUUAAUGUGAAUAAUCAUCCAUGUUCAUCUACAUGACUAAUGUUCCCCCUGUGUCCUAUCCUGGCCCCCUAUACACCACCUUUCAGCAGCAGCCAGUUUUCUAAUAUGUUAUCAGAUCAUAUCACCUCUUUCUUUGAACUUAUCAAUAGAUUUCUAUUACAAAUUAAGGAAUGACUUUAAUAAUUUUCUAUGGACCACAAGGCUGUACAUGAACUGGAUCUGGUUUCCAUCUCUCCCCUAUGCAUGAAGCACAUCUAGUUUCACCUUCAUUCUGCUUUUAUUUCACAAUAUUUGUAUUUGCUCUUCUUUUAGCAUGGCUUUUUUCCUAGAUCUUCGUGCUGGGCACACUGGACACAGUCCAUCAGUAGAAGAGAAAAAUGAACUAACAGUUAUAUACUGUAAGGUUAAUACCGGGAUCCCUGGAUGGCCCAGCGGUUUAGCAUCUGCCUUCAGCCCAGGGCGUGAUGCUGGAGUCCUGGGAUUGAGUCCCACAUCAGGCUCCGUGCGUGGAGCCUGCUUCUCCCUCUGCCUGUUUCUCUGCCUCUCUCUCUCUCUCUCUCUCUCUCUGUGUGUGUGUGUGUGUGUGUCUCAUGAAUAAAUAAAUAAAAUCUUUUUAAAAAUAAGGUUAA